GUUCUCCUGAAACACAACAGACUACAUCGCUAUCAAGGAGCAUCCUGGCAGCAGCCUUGUUUGUUCGCAGACUGCUUCUGCACUUUCAAGACUCUGAUGUCCGAAAACAGUGGCCUGCAUGUUUCUGGGAGUUCAGGUUUAUGCUGAGUUUUACAGGAUUACUCAAACCAACCUCAAAGAUACCUUCUUUUUUUUGGAUGAAUACGCUAUCAAGUUUUAUCAAUCAUGUGGUGGGCCCUCCAGGAAUUGAGUUUGACACCCCUG
rnacentral:lncRNA from 8 species